AGAAGAGGUAUAAAAGACCCCAGGAACAGACCUCCGUCGGCUCGUCCGCCCUUGACGACCCGUCAAGUGGACCCGCCGAAGCUCUGCCCGGGACGCAGACACUCUGCCGGAGACGCUCUCCCGUUCGAGACGUCAGAUGCCGGAGGACAUCAUGAGACCUUGAAGCACGUCGCAGCGCGACCCUGCCGCGUCCAACACCACAGGCGCCACGGACUCAGGAACGCAAGGACACUAUACAAUACAUAAGCUGAGGUCGUCGCCCCUGGACCCAGGAAUAAUAUCUGGAUAACCCAAGCUAUUUUGCAGACAAUGGCACCAUCAAGAAGACGCAAAAAUCACUCCGGACGGAUAUGUGAUUUGAUGCAACCUGACGGCGCAAGGAUCACAUUAAAACAUUAUUAUCACUUACAUUGUUAUGAUUUGCUUACAAAUAUGGGUUUGCUACCAACACCAGAGCAAGCAUUGUUAGAAUGUCAUUUUUGCAAAAAUCGCUUUUCUACUCGCUUUCUUCCAGGAACAAAUAAUGAUGAUAGAUUACUGUGGCUCAUGUAUCAUUUCAUAGAACAUGGUGAUAUUUGGAUUGAGACACACCCAAUUCAACAAUACUUACAUAUGCUUGCAAGCUUAAUUUCGUGCUAUGUGUGCAAAGGAAAUUAUUCAAACUAUAUGCUAUGCAAAAAUUUAAUAAAACAUAAACCAGAACAGUCCUAUCGAUUAUUAGAAGGUGACUGGUACUGCAAAAACUCAAUAGAAUCAGUACACACACCAAAUUCAUUGCAUUCACGGUGCAUGAGAAUGACGUUAAAACCACUAUUAUAUGAUUUGUUGUUUGAAUAUAAUGCUUAUACAACUUGGUAUGAGCUCAAUAGAACAUAUAGAAAAAAGAGAAAUUUACACAUACAAAAAGGAUAUGAUUGCAACUACUGAAAGAAAUUCAUAUUAGAUGCGCCGUAAGACUUUGUAAACCCCUGUUUUACACAACCAGCUGGGACCCUCUUGUUAAUGAGGGGCCCUAAUAGUGACACCUUUUAUGCUGAGAUCAUCUCAGGUAUCAGGGGGUGGAAUGUAAUGAGCAUUACAAGCAGCCAUUAGCUGACAGGCAGUGGCAACCAGAUGAUAAGGCUAAGUAGCUCAAAAGUGUGACGUGUGAGUUUGCAGUAAAAGUAAGAUUAAGGUUUGGAAUGUCCCCGAUGAGGUAAUGUACAGACGCUCAGGCGUCGACCUCAGAUUAAGAGUGUGUUAAGAUAGGAUAAGGAAUGAGAAGAGGUAUAAAAGACCCCAGGAACAGACCUCCGUCGGCUCGUCCGCCCUUGACGACCCGUCAAGUGGACCCGCCGAAGCUCUGCCCGGGACGCAGACACUCUGCCGGAGACGCUCUCCCGUUCGAGACGUCAGAUGCCGGAGGACAUCAUGAGACCUUGAAGCACGUCGCAGCGCGACCCUGCCGCGUCCAACACCACAGGCGCCACGGACUCAGGUCGUAUACCCGGACUCUUUCCCGCAAAGACUCUAGCCUAGCCUCGGCGCCAGCCCAACUGCUCUGGGCUGGCGCUUCAUCGCCUCAGGCUGGCACUUUGCAUACAUCCCUUUGGCUAUUGUUAUAUUUGUUGCUUGUCUGUGUGU